GACGAACGCUGGCGGCGCGCCUAACACAUGCAAGUCGAACGAAGAAAGCGAUAGUUUACUAGAGCUUUCUUAGUGGCGGACGGGUGAGUAACACGUGAAGAACCUGCCUUACAGAGGGGGACAACAGUUGGAAACGACUGCUAAUACCGCAUAUGCCAUAAUUACCACAUGGUAAUAGUGGGAAAGGAGCAAUCCGCUAAUAGAUGAGCUUGCGUCUGAUUAGUUAGUUGGUGGGGUAACGGCCUACCAAGACGACGAUCAGUAGCCGGACUGAGAGGUUGAACGGCCACAUUGGGACUGAGAUACGGCCCAG
rnacentral:rRNA from 1 species